GGACGAUGUUUGCGCUCCAUCUUAACACCAAAGUUUAAGAUAAAUACCUCAGCCCAAUGAAAUGAAAACUCUCUUUUCUGUUGUAACCUCCGAGGAAGUCGUAGUGCGCGUCGUGUAAUUAAUUGUUUAAGUUAUCCCAAUAUGAGGUGGUUUUUAAAGCUUUGUACCUUAUUCUAAGUGGAUGAUGUGUCCUUAAUACUAGUAGUGCGGUGAAAUAGUACGGCAGAAACUACAAAACUAUAUAGUACGCCUAUUACGAAUCAAUGCCGUCUAUAAACUAAGAAAACACUACUGUGAAAGUUAUGUGCAAGAAAAAGGUCCACGAGUGGGCCUUUUUCGUUUACUUUCAAGCUACACUCACGACAGGCUCUUGGGGACAACCCGAGAAGCCCAACCAACACGCGCGCAGAGCUGAUGAGGUAUACGAUCAAUGCUGAUCUAGCUCGAGGACCCCAUUCCGAGCAUUACGGCCAUGCGGAACCUCCAACAGCCACCGACCGAGGCACAGCAACAGAAAACCCAUUGUCUGAAGACGUCUAUUGUCCAGACCCCUGCCAAAGCAAUACUCGCCAUUUUGAAUCGGCCAUUCCGCCGAGGCAUCAAGCGCUCCAACAUGGCAACGCGCCCCGUCACCGACCGUUCCCCAGCUUCAAGCAGUGGCCACUUGCUGUUCAACGGAAUCACCGAGGAUCCGGAUCCCGAGCAUCACGAUGCUCCCCCCCCCCCACGCAAGUACCCUAUCAAGUGUGACAAUGCAGUGUUAGCUAGCUAGAUUCGAAGAAGAUAAUUAAAGGUAGAAUUAAGUUAAAUUGAAAACAGUAAUUCUCUAUUUGUGACAAUCAUUCCCUGAACAAUAAGGUCCCAAGUUUGUUGUUUGUGUUAUCGCUUUUCCGGGCUUACAAAGAAGCCAUCAAGCCUCGUCCUUAGUGUGUUGAAUUAAAGUUAAUUUUCCUUCAGGCUUUUGAGAAGUUUCUGAGUGUUAAGGUGAUUAUAGAAUGAAGCCAGAAAUCGGCCAUUUUGUAAACCACGUGCUAUUCCAAUAUUG